CAGUAGCCGCGGUAAUACGAAGGGGGCAAGCGUUGUCCGGAAUUAUUGGGCGUAAAGGGCUCGCAGGCGGUUUCUUAAGUCUGAUGUGAAAGCCCCCGGCUCAACCGGGGAGGGUCAUUGGAAACUGGGAAACUUGAGUGCAGAAGAGGAGAGUGGAAUUCCACGUGUAGCGGUGAAAUGCGUAGAGAUGUGGAGGAACACCAGUGGCGAAGGCGACUCUCUGGUCUGUAACUGACGCUGAGGAGCGAAAGCGUGGGGAGCGAACAGGAUUAGAUACCCCGGUAGUCCCUGUCUCUUAUAA
rnacentral:rRNA from 1 species